UACGGAGGGAGCUAGCGUUGUUCGGAUAUACUGGGCGUAAAGCGUGCGCAGGCGGCUUUGCAAGACAGAUGUGAAAUCCCCGGGCUUAACCUGGGAACUGCAUUUGUGACUGCAUGGCUAGAGUACGGUAGAGGGGGAUGGAAUUCCGCGUGUAGCAGUGAAAUGCGUAGAUAUGCGGAGGAACACCGAUGGCGAAGGCAAUCCCCUGGACCUGUACUGACGCUCAUGCACGAAAGCGUGGGGAGCAAACAGG
rnacentral:rRNA from 1 species